GAACUUCAAACAAUUUAUAAUUACAGCCCUACUCCGCUGGCACAACUGGAAGUUCAGAUAAGCACGAGCUGUGCCAAGAACAAGACAGCAUGGCACAACAGACCUAGUGAAAGACACGUUACUCAGGCUCAGGCAAUUUUUUGCAUACAACACAAGCCAGGUUGCCUGCCUACACUACUCAUGCCAAGCAAUUGCUAGGUCAAUCUUGAUUCCUCAAAAGGCGCCUGCGCUUAGACGCUUGGUUCUCUUCAGGAGUUUCCUCGACUACAUGAUCCUGCAAGACCAAUCCUCGGUUCCGGGUUAACUCAUUUGAUAGCAGAGAAGGUGGGCCAGGGUGUCCGUGCAUACAAUGUUAAGUGUUGUUGAAAAGAGAGGGGCUUCAUUACAUGGUACAGCAUCCAGGCACAGGCCUGAAGAUAUGUGAAACAGAAAGCCCAAGAUCACCCCAUCGUAAUGAGACAGACUCAUCCCAGCUGCCUGAGGCGAAGAUAGGAGGCCAAGAAAGAUCUGAUUCACAGAAAUUGAUAGCCACUGCUUCCAUGAAUCAGCAAGACCAGCUGUUGUGAUUUUUUGUUGGGUAUUAUAAAUUAAAUCACUUACGUGACUUAUAUCUUCGCA